rnacentral:rRNA from 1 species
UUACACCUACGGGACGCAGCAGUGGGGAAUAUUGCACAAUGGGGGAAACCCUGAUGCAGCGACGCCGCGUGAGUGAGGAAGUAUUUCGGUAUGUAAAGCUCUAUCAGCAGGGAAGAAAAUGACGGUACCUGACUAAGAAGCCCCGGCUAACUACGUGCCAGCAGCCGCGGUAAUACGGAGGAUGCGAGCGUUAUCCGGAUUUAUUGGGUUUAAAGGGUGCGUAGGCGGGCUGUUAAGUCAGCGGUAAAAGCCCGGGGCUCAACCCCGGCGAGCCGUUGAAACUGGCUGUCUUGAGAUGUCGAGAG